rnacentral:lncRNA from 1 species
GCCUUUCUGACUCUCGUUACACUUGUUCUGAAAAUGAAAACAAAAAUUAAUUCGAUAAUCAAUAAAAUUAUUGAAUUAUAUUUAAAAUACCUCCAAAUGUUUGAAAUUUUCGACCAAACAUCUUAUGCUGCAUCAGUAGUCGUGUUUUCGGAAAUAGACUCUUUUCCUUUUCAAUUUGGAAAAGCUUAUCUUUCGUUCGUUAUACUAACCAUACUGACAGCUUCUCCAAUUUUUAAUAUCUUGUUCUUUUUAUUUUUUCCGAAAGUCUUGUUGAUCGUCGCUUCGAUUAAUUGUUGUAUUAUAAAAAUAAAAAAUAGUAAAUACAAAAUAUGUAUAAAAAAAAUUAAUGAAACUUACCAUUGGAGUCAUAGAUUCU